rnacentral:rRNA from 1 species
UACGGAGGGUGCAAGCGUUGUUCGGAAUUAUUGGGCGUAAAGGGCGUGUAGGCGGGUAUGCAGGUCAGGUGUGAAAUCCCUCGGCUCAACCGAGGAAGUGCAUCUGAAACCGCAUAUCUUGAGUACGAGAGAGGCAGAUGGAAUUCCCAGUGUAGAGGUGAAAUUCAUAGAUAUUGGGAAGAACACCGGUGGCGAAAGCGGUCUGCUGGCUCGAUACUGACGCUGAGACGCGAAAGCGUGGGGAGCAAACAGG